GACGAACGCUGGCGGCGUGCUUAACACAUGCAAGUCGAACGGAAAGGCCCUGCUUUUGUGGGGUGCUCGAGUGGCGAACGGGUGAGUAACACGUGAGUAACCUGCCCUUGACUUUGGGAUAACUUCAGGAAACUGGGGCUAAUAUCGGAUAGGAGCUCCUGCUGCAUGGUGGGGGUUGGAAAGUUUCGGCGGUUGGGGAUGGACUCGCGGCUUAUCAGCUUGUUGGUGGGGUAGUGGCUUACCAAGGCUUUGACGGGUAGCCGGCCUGAGAGGGUGACCGGCGACAUGGGGACUGAGGGACGGCCCAGACUCCUACGGGAGGCAGCAGUGGGGAAUAUUGCGCAAUGGGCGGAAGCGUGAGGCAGCAACGCCGCGUGCGGGAUGACGGCCUUCGGGUUGUAAACCGCUGUCGCCUGUGACGAAGCGUGAGUGACGGUAAUGGGUAAAGAAGCACCGGCUAACUACGUG
rnacentral:rRNA from 1 species